rnacentral:rRNA from 1 species
AAACUAGGAUUAGAUACCCUAUUAUGCUUAGCCCUAAACAUUGACAACAACAUACACCUGUUGUCCGCCUGGGAACUACGAGCAUCAGCUUGAAACCCAAAGGACUUGGCGGUGCUUUAGAUCCACCUAGAGGAGCCUGUUCUAGAACCGAUAACCCCCGUUCAACCUCACCCUUCUUUGUUUCCCCCGCCUAUAUACCGCCGUCGUC